GACGAACGCUGGCGGCGUGCUUAACACAUGCAAGUCGAACGGAGUGCCUAUGACAGAGACUUCGGUCAAUUGAUUAGGUUACUUAGUGGCGGACUGGUGAGUAACGCGUGAGGAACCUGCCUUUCAGAGGGGGACAACAGUUGGAAACGACUGCUAAUACCGCAUGACACAUUCGGGCGGCAUCGCCUGGAUGUCAAAGAUUUAUCGCUGAAAGAUGGCCUCGCGUCUGAUUAGAUAGUUGGCGGGGUAACGGCCCACCAAGUCGACGAUCAGUAGCCGGACUGAGAGGUUGACCGGCCACAUUGGGACUGAGAUACGGCCCAAACUCCUACGGGAGGCAGCAGUGGGGAAUAUUGGGCAAAUGGACGCAAAGUCUGACCCCAGCAAACGCCGCGUGAAGGAAGAAAGGCUUUCGGGUUGUAAACUUCUUUUAAGGGGGAAGAGAAGAAGACGGUACCCCCCUUGAAUAAGCCACGGCUAACUACGUGCCAAGCAGCCGCAGUAAC
rnacentral:rRNA from 1 species